CCUACGGGAGGCAGCAGUAGGGAAUAUUGCUCAAUGGCCGAAACGCUGAAGCAGCAACGCCGCGUGGAGGAUGAAGGUUUUCGGAUUGUAAAAUCCUUUUUUUAGAGAAGAUAAUGACGGUAUCUAACGAAUAAUCACCGGCUCACUCCGUGCCAGCAGCCGCGGUAAUACGGAGGAUGCAAGCGUUACACGGAAUAACCGGGCGUAAAGGGCGUGUAGGCUGGUUAGCAAGUCAGAGGUGAAAUCCUAUGGCUUAACCAUAGAACUGCAGUUGAAACUGUUAUUCUAGAGUGUGGGAGAGGUAGGUGGAAUGCUUGGUGUAGGGGUAAAAUCCAUAGAGAUCACGAAGAACACUGAUUGCGAAGGCGGCCUGCUAGGACAUAACUGACGCUGAUGCACGAAAGCGUGGGGAGCAAACAGGAUUAGAUACCCGAGUAGUC
rnacentral:rRNA from 1 species